UACGUAGGGGGCAAGCGUUGUCCGGAAUCAUUGGGCGUAAAGAGCGUGUAGGCGGCUUGGUAAGUCCGCUGUGAAAGUCCAGGGCUCAACCCUGGAAUGCCGGUGGAAACUGUCAAGCUUGAGUCCGGAAGAGGCGAGUGGAAUUCCUGGUGUAGCGGUGAAAUGGCGCAGAUAUCAGGAGGAACACCAAUGGCGAAGGCAGCUCGCUGGGACGGUACUGACGCUGAGACGCGAAAGCGUGGGGAGCAAACAGG
rnacentral:rRNA from 1 species